rnacentral:rRNA from 1 species
AUUGAACGCUGGCGGCAGGCCUAACACAUGCAAGUCGAACGAGUGGCGGACGGGUGAGUAAUGUCUGGGAAACUGCCUGAUGGAGGGGGAUAACUACUGGAAACGGUAGCUAAUACCGCAUACCAUCGGAUGUGCCCAGAUGGGAUUAGCUAGUUGGUGGGGUAACGGCUCACCUAGGCGACGAUACGUAGCUGGUCUGAGAGGAUGACCAGGCACACGGGAAAGGGGACACGGUCUAGACUCCUACGUGAGGCAGCAGUGGGGAAUAUUGGACAAUGGGCGCUAGCCUGUUGCAGGCAUGCGGCGUGUAUGAAGAAGACCUUCGCGUUGUAAAGUACUUUCAGCGGGGAGGCGUUACCCGCAGAAGAAGCACCGGCUAACUCCGUGCCAGCAGCCGCGGUAAUUC